rnacentral:rRNA from 1 species
GUGGGGAAUAUUGGGCAAUGGGCGAAAGCCUGACCCAGCAACGCCGCGUGAGGGAAGAAGGCCUUCGGGUUGUAAACCUCUGUCCUUGGUGACGAAAAAAAUGACGGUAGCCAAGGAGGAAGCCCCGGCUAACUACGUGCCAGCAGCCGCGGUAAUACGUAGGGGGCGAGCGUUGUCCGGAAUUACUGGGCGUAAAGGGUGCGUAGGUGGCCUUUUAAGUUGGAUGUGAAAUACCCGGGCUUAACUUGGGGGGUGCAUCUAAUACUGGAGGGCUAGAGUGCAGGAGAGGGAAGCGGAAUUCCUAGUGUAGCGGUGAAAUGCGUAGAUAUUAGGAGGAACACCAGUGGCGAAGGCGGCUUCCUGGCACAAUACUGACGCUCAUGUGCGAAAGCUAGGGCAGCGAACGGGAUUAGAAACCCGAGUAGUCC